rnacentral:lncRNA from 1 species
AUGUCCAGCAUCUGCCGGUGUUUAAAGAAGACAUUCCCUUUGAUCAGGAGGAGGACUGGACCAGUCCUAGUGUAGACCCAGACCCAGAACCCUCCCUCAUGAAAGAGGAACAGGAGGAGAUGAAGAUCAAUGACACAGAGCAGCUCAUUCCACUGUCAGAAUUCGCCUCCACGGCAGCGUUUCCUGAGUCCCAUCCAUCUGGACUGGAUUCACCACAGUCACAGAAUGCAUUCAUGUUUUUAGAUCCAGAAAGUCCUUGUGGAAAACACCAGAAGAUGAACACAGAAGGUCUACAGGUAAGAGUCGACACAUCAACACAAAUCCUUCUGCAGACGCUGAAGUUCAGCUGUGGAAUUCAGUGGAUCUGAUCCUGAACUGUUGUUCUGUUUGAAGUUGGUGGAAUCUGUUCUCACCACUAAACCCGGUGGUGAACGAAUCAUAAAUGAACACGACGAAACCCAGACGUUGUUGGACGUUUCCAGAACGAAAAUGGUGAAAACACUGACAGCCGACAUGGCUGAAAAGAACAGGUGCGUUUUUAACUAUAUUCCAUUAUUAGGUUUUGUGUCCCAUUGUAGCUUUAGUUUUAGUUAAAUCCAAAAAAUGUGACUGAGAAAUCUUUUCUGCAGAACGUCUCCAUCCAGAGAAGUCAAAGACAUGUGCACCAAAGGAAUCACGACCUUACCCCCCAGCCUCAGAGACCCGUUGUCCAAGAACGGAUACGUGUCACCCAGUACACACGAGGCAGUGGCUCAGACAGGACAGCCUGUCAAAGCACGAGCACAGAAGCGCUUAAAGUCUUUUAAGGACAAAAGUAUGGACUGGGCCAAGUCCAUGAGACGCAACCGAAAUGUCAGCCAUUUUCUGGAUAACAUCGAAGUGACUAUUGAGAAAAUGAAGGCCCUCGGACUCCGACCGUUCCUUCUUUAUUCAAUCUACGAUGACAAAUCUGACACAUAUGAGUCGAGGGUCAUCUGCCCGUACGACUGCGACCAAGCUACCAAGAAAAUGAUUGAGAAAAUCGAACAGUUGUACCAGUUGCUCUUGCAAGUAUGGACUCCUCAGGAUGAGCAAAGCAGACGCAAAGAGAAGAGGAAGGGGAAGAGAAGGAGAAUGGAGCUGUUAGGAGAGGAGAGAAGCCCUACGUCAGGAAACCAGGGGCCUACGUCAGGAGAGGAGGGGGCUGCAGUGCCGGACAGAGGAGAAUGUGAGCCUCCAGUGUCAGUGACCCAGCAAUUAAAAAACCUGGUUAACCCCAAAGCCAAAAGAAGAACGUCUGGUGGAGAGACGCAAGACGGAGAAGAGGAGGGGUACGUGACCGUGGAGGACAGUACAGAACCUGUGGAUGUGGAGGACGGACGAGAGGAGGGGUCUGCAGGUCCAGGGGUCAAGGAAAUGAAAAUCUUCUUUAAGAAGAGAAGACAGUGGUCCAGAGAGUGCAGUUUGCAUCCGUAUGCUGAGUCUUUUCAAGCUUGCAAAUUAGGGAAAAGACAAAAAAAAAAGGUUGGUAUGAAACACAGGUAG